rnacentral:rRNA from 1 species
GUAGGUGGGCAAGCGUUGUCCGGAAUUAUUGGGCGUAAAGCGCGCGCAGGCGGUCCUUUAAGUCUGAUGUGAAAGCCCACGGCUCAACCGUGGAGGGUCAUUGGAAACUGGGGGACUUGAGUACAGAAGAGGAAAGCGGAAUUCCAAGUGUAGCGGUGAAAUGCGUAGAGAUUUUGAGGAACACCAGUGGCGAAGGCGGCUUUCUGGUCUGUAACUGACGCUGAGGCGCGAAAGCGUGGGGAGCAAACGGGAUUAGAUACCCUGGUAGUCCACGCCGUAAACGAUGAGUGCUAAGUGUUAGGGGGUUUCCGCCCCUUAGUGCUGCAGCUAACGCAUUAAGCACUCCGCCUGGGGAGUACGGCCGCAAGGCUG